GACAGAGGGUGCAAACGUUGUUCGGAAUUACUGGGCGUAAAGCGCGCGUAGGCAGCAGCGUGUGUCGGGCGUGAAAUCCCAUGGCUCAACCAUGGAAGUGCACUCGAAACUGCGCAGCUAGAGUCUCGGAGAGGAAGGCGGAAUGCUUGGUGUAGAGGUGAAAUGCGUAGAUAUCUGGAGGAAUACCGGUGGCGAAGGCGGCAUCCUGGACCGGCAUUGACGCUGAGGAGCGAAAGCCAGGGGAGCAAACGGG
rnacentral:rRNA from 1 species